CUGCGCGGCUUCCAACGUUCGAUCAGAACUUUACCCGGGAAAUCGACCGCGCGCGUCCUCAGCACAAAUCUUGCUAAGCGACGCUGGUCUCCAGGGAAACAGGCACACACUGCAGAGCUUGUAGAUUGGAGGGGACGGCUGAUUAGUUCUUCUCGCGAGAGGUCUUGAAGUUGGAUUUUAUUCAACUGAAUAACGUUUGUUUUUCUUCCUCUCCAAAUGUUUGGGAACUGGGUAAGGAAAGCAUUGCCCUCCUUAUCAGGUUAGGCUGGUGGUGGCACCAGAAAAGCUGGCGAGGCUUAAUGACUUCCAACAGUUUACAGGUUGAGUUAGAACAACGCAAGUUAAUUUGCAAUUUCCUGCAGGUGGGUGGGGAGAAUUUGAAACGCCUUUCCCACACAUUGUAUUGUUGCGCUUUAAGAUCUUGUAUUCUUAGCAAAUUCUCUAUGCGUUUCGUGCACACUUUAAGUGCUAUAGGCGUAUAUACACGUAGGUAUGAAACAGUCCUAAGUUUAGAGCUUUGACGACAAAUGGCUGCUCUUCUUUAUUCUUUGUUUUAAAAUAUUAUAUCCUGUUUUCCUGUUUCAUUGUUUUUAAUGAUAAAAAUGUAAAUAUAUUAAAAGCUUAAACAUUUUAAAAGGAGAGCAGAUACAGCAUCAUAGGUAUUCCAGAGAGCAAAAAAAUAAGAGUUAGAAGGAAGCUUGAAGGUUUUUAAACCAAAUUCUCUGCUAAUUGCAGUCUGCAGUGAUGCAACCACAGUAUAGUUGACAGAUAUUGCUGACAGACGGCUGUCCAGACGGCUGUCCUUUUAACUUAAAUACUUCCAGCAAAGGAAAGCACUUCUCCCUAGGCAGUCAGUUCCAUUGUUGAACAAUUUCUACCUUGGGAAAGUUUAUCCUAGUGCAGGGAUGGCUGGCCUUUCAGAUGUUGUUGGACUGCAAUUCCCAACUAUUGGAAAUGCUGGCUGGGUAUGAUGGAAACUGGAAUACUACACCAUCUGGAGGGCCACAGGUUAACUACCCCUGUACUAAUGUUUAUCUGAAAUCUGCUUUUCUGCAGUUUCCACCAUUGGUUCUUGUUUUGCCCUCUGGAGCAGUAGGGAACGAGUCUUCAGAUAUCUGAAGACUGCUAUAAUAGCACAUCACAUCAGUUGCUCCACUUUUGCCUCUAUCUCUAACAGGUGGCCCCCAGAAGAUUGCCCAAAACGGAAUGUGGCCCUUGGACUGAAAAAAUUUCCCCACCCCUGCUGUGACUAACACAUAAAGCUUGUAAGUACCUAGCACAAAUGAUCCUGGAUUUCUUUGCCUGAAAUCUGGCACAUUUCUUAUCU